rnacentral:lncRNA from 1 species
AGAUUUCAUAUCUUAUAAUUAAACCAUUUCUAUCGAAUAUAGGUAUACAUUAAUUCACUUCAUUAUAUUAAUUAGAAUGUGGUUCCUUUAGAUCUUCAAUAAUUUUCAGAUUCCUACUAAUUUUUGAUUCACUAAGAUUCAGGUAUGUCUAAAAGCAACUGUGAGGAUAAAUUGAUUGGUGUCCAUUUUAAAUUCAGCAGGC